AGAAGGUGGCAGAGCGGUUAUGCGACUGGCUUGAAACCAGUCUAUGGGGGUUCAAUUCCUCCCUUUCUC
rnacentral:tRNA from 1 species